ensembl:lncRNA
GCCACAGCAGCAGCUGGAAGCAGUGAGCCCUGCCCCCAACUCUCCCCACCUCCAGCCUCACACCUGCUUCCCGUUGCUCAAUUACUCUCAGCUGCCAGCAGUCAGAGCUGCACGCUUUGGAGCGGAGCCCUGGAGGGCUUGGGGGCCCUUGGGAGCUUUUGGCGGAGAUUUAUAGCCAAGGGGAGAAUUGAUGUGCCUGCCUGUGGGGGAGGGCUGCAGGCCAAGAAAACUUAACACCAGGGGUGUCUAUGUGGUCUCACCUUAAAGGGCGAGUGAUGAUGCCGUGAGCCCAAGGAGCUGUGAGAACCCCGUGAAGAAAUUCCAGAUUCCAGGAAUCUGCCCUCAGAUGAAUUCACACAUGAGUAAAGAGAUGGAUGGGCAAGCAUCGUCGUGACAGUCCUGGAUUUAACAGCAAAAGAUCAGAAACAAUGCACAUGUCCAUUGAAGCGGGGCUGUCCACACAAUGGAAAACAGUGCAACUGUUCUUUAAAAUAUGGUUUUUGUGGGUUUUUUUGGUAUACUAUUCAGCUUGCAGGAUCUUAGUUUCCUGACCAGGGAUUGAACCCGGGCCCUGGCGGCAGUGAAGGCACCAAGUCCAAUCACACGGGCACGGUGCAUGUGUGCUAGGUUGCUUCAGUCAUAUCUGACUCUUUGUGACCCCAUGGACUGUAGCCCACCAGGCUCCUCUGUCCAUGGGAUUCUCCAGGCAAGAACACUGGAGUGGGUAGCCAUGCCCUCCUCCAGGGGAUCUUCCCGGCCCAGGGAUCGAACCUACACUUAUGUCUCCUGCAUUGGCAGGCGGGUUCUUUACCAUGAGCGUCACCUGGGAAGCACCCUAACCAGUGGACCACCAGAGAAUUCCCAACAGUGCAACUGUUUAGAAAAUGAAUGAGAAAUUUAUGUUCUCAUGUGGAAUUAUCACCAAGCUGUAGGAACUGAAAUAAGCAAAGCACAGGCCAGAGUGUGUAAUAAUGCUCCUCGGGGUGGAAGAGGGGUGAGC